ACCUCAAUCCUGAAAUCUCAGCCUCCUGAGUAGCUAGGAUGACAGUGAGCCACUAGUGCCCAGCACUAUUUCUUACAAGUAUUGUGGUAAAGAUACUUUCGAUCUUCCCUUGAGGAGUCUCGGGAGCUUUUGGGGCCCACGGACUUUAGAUAUACCAAAAUGUUUCUUUUCCCACUGGAAGACAUUUCAUGGGCUGGAGGUGUAGCUCAGUGUAAGACUUGCAUUUGUAAGACCCUGGAUUUGAUUCCUAAUAUGGCUCAAUAAAUAAAUAAAUGGAUUUUCCAAAGGGCUAAGGACAUAGCUCAAUUGUAGACUGUCUGCCGUACCUAGCAUACCCCAAAGGCCCUGGGUUCAAUUCCCCAGCACCACAUAUGCAGAAAA